rnacentral:lncRNA from 1 species
CCCGCCGAAGGUUUUCUCCGGUUCGGGAGAGAGACGGAGUCCCGCUCUGUCACGCAGGCUGCCAGGCUGGCGUACAGUGGCGCAAUCUCAGCUCGCUGCAACCUCCACCUCCUGGGUUCAAGCGAUUUUCUUGCCUCUGCCUCCUGAGUAGCUGGGAUUACUGGCACACACCACCAUGCACAGUUCCUUGUUCAAAAUGCCAAGAACCUGGAUGACUCAUAGUCAAGACCCUCCACCAGUAACAUAUAUUGGCGAGCCAGCCAGGAGACCACUACAGGAAACACUCCAUUUAUUCCACCUGACUUCCCACUUGGCUGCAUCCUCAACCAUUGAAAUGAAUUUGACCCUGAUAAUCUAAGGAGGAAACAUUUGAUAUUCUUUUGCAAUAAUACUUGGCCCCAGUAUUGUUUGGAAUCUGGAGUUUGCUGUUGAAUGGGAAAGCAGGAUGACGUUGCAUGUAUCCAGGCUUUGGUGCUGCUGUCCUAAGAAGGGUCAGGCCUAGUCAGCAUAUGGUGCUCUCCUUUGGUGCUAUUUGGCUCCAGUGUCUUUGGAGUCUGAGGAGGUUUGGCCUUUAAAAAUCAAACUGCCACCGGAACUGCUUUAAAAAUGUUUGGUUCACAGCCUUCACUGGAUUACCUAUUGGAGCAAACAAAGUGUAACCAUGUAAAACCUGUGAGCUUGUAUUGAUAUCUCAUGGCUAGAGUUCCAAGCGAAUGGGUCUCAUGAGAUCUGAUGGUUUUGAAAAUGGGAGUUGCCCUGCACAAGCUCUCCUUUUGCCUGCUGCCAUCCACAUAAGAUGUGAUUUGCUCUUCCUUGCCUUCCACCAUGAUUGUGAGGCCUUCCCAGCAUGUGGAAAUGGUCCAGCCUGCAAUAACUGAAGCCCCCAGACCUGGAACCUGAAGAUCCCAUCAGCCACUAAACCUGUGAACCUGUAGAAGACCUGAAGUACCUGUUUAAAAGGCAGCCAAAAGAUAAAGACCAUUAUGAUAAUGCAGCAGGGCCACCAGUCAGUUUCAGAUAAUGAUGUCAACCCCGGCCACCAAGAAGUAACCUUGUCUCCACUAGACAGAGCAGGUUGCAGGAAUUUAGCCAAUUCAGAGGUCUUGUUCUCCAUAAUUUGGAAUUUUCCUUCGGAUUUGAUCAAGUUGGAUAGAGUUGGUCAAACCCAAUGGGAAAAAGAUGAAAACAACAAGAAACAGAAACAAACAGCAACAACAACAACAACAAAAACAAUGCAUUUAAUUAAAUGAAGAUGAGCUCAUGCUGGAGUAGGGUGGACUCUGAACCCAGUGGGACAAGCGUCCUUAUUAAGAAGAGGGAAAUCUGGACACACACAGAGCAGAGACCGCCGUGUGAAGAUGGAGGCAGAGAUCGGAGAGAUGCUGCCACACGCCACAAAUGCCUGGGGCUCCCAGAAACUACACGGAGCCUCCCCCAGCGGCUUCAGCAGGAGCAUGGCUCGGCCAACACUUUGAUCUUGGUCUUCCAGCCUCCAGAACGGUGAGUCGUUUUCCUAAAAUUCCCUUUUCCACUGGUGUGUGGUGCAAGAUGAGGCACAUUUUCCAUGGAUGGUGAACAGAGGGAGGAGCCUUUUGAUCACAACCAGGUCACCCCACUUCUAAGCCACUGUGCCUCCAGCCCCACAAGACUAAGGAGAGAGAGCGCAGCGUGGUGGAGAGUGAGCUGUGCUGGGACCAUUGUUUCCGUAACCUCGUUUUCUGUGUCCAGCUGACACACCUUCAAAGUGGCAUCAGGUCCUAAACUGUAGCUUGCAAUGUGCCUGUUUCCAGAAACCAAGGUGAAAGUGCUUUUAGACAGUGUUCCCAUGCAAGAGUCCCUUCCCAGCUUUUUUCUGGAAAUGCAUGUUUCUCUGAACUCUGAGUCCCAAGAAAAAUCACUUGAGACACCAAGAAAAUGGGGGAAGUGCUAAAAUUGUGUGGGAAUUCAAGCUUAACAAUAAACAUCAAGACAUUUUUGAUAAAAAUGAAUCCACUGACAUCGGGGAGGAGCAAGAGAACAGCACGCUGACACUGGGUCAGAGGCUAAGACCGACAUUUCUGGGAACCACUCCCGGA